CUACGGGAGGCACCAGUAGGGAAUAUUGGACAAUGGGCGAAAGCCUGAUCCAGCAACACCGCGUGCACGAUGACGGCCUUCGGGUUGUAAAGUGCUUUUAGAGGAGAUGAGAAGGGACAGUAUCCUCUGAAUAAGCCUCGGCGAACUACGUGCCAGCAGCCGCGGUAAAACGUAGGAGGCAAGCGUUAUCCGGAUUUAUUGGGCGUAAAGCGCGUGCAGGCGGUCUAGCAAGUUGGAUGUGAAAGCUCCCGGCUCAACUGGGAGAGGUCGUUCAAUACUGUUAGACUAGAGAAUAGGAGAGGGAGGUGGAAUUCCGGGUGUAGUGGUGAUAUGCGUAGAUAUCCGGAGGAACACCAGUGGCGAAAGCGGCCUCCUGGACUAUUUCUGACGCUAAGACGCGAAAGCUAGGGUAGCAAACGGGAUUAGAUACCCCCGUAGUC
rnacentral:rRNA from 1 species